rnacentral:misc_RNA from 1 species
AUGAAGAACGCAGCGAAAUGCGAUAAGUAGUGUGAAUUGCAGAAUUCAGUGAAUCAUCGAAUCUUUGAACGCACAUUGCGCCCGCUAGUAUUCUGGCGGGCAUGCCUGUUCGAGCGUCAUUUCAACCAUCAAGCCCCAGGCUUGUGUUGGGGGCCUGCGGCUGCCGCAGCCCCUGAAAAGCAGUGGCGGGCUCGCUGUCAUUCCGAGCGCAGUAGUUACAUCUCGCUCCGGGCGUGGCGGUGGGCACCUGCCGUGAAACACUCCUUCUAAGGUUGACCUCGGAUCAGGUAGGAAUACCCGCUGAACUUAAGCAUAUCAAUAAGCGGAGGA